GAUGAACGCUGGCGGCGUGCCUAAUACAUGCAAGUCGAGCGAACAGACGAGGAGCUUGCUCCUCUGACGUUAGCGGCGGACGUGUGAGUAACACGUGUAUAACCUCCCUAUAAUACUGGUAUAUCUUCGGGAAACCGGAGCUUAUACCGGAUAAUAUAUUGCACCGCAUGGUUCAUUAGUUAAAUACGGUUUUUCUGUCUCUUAUAGAUGGUUCCGGGCCGCAUUAGCUAGUUGGUAAGGUAACGGCUUAUCAAGGCAACGAUGCGUAGCCGACCUGAGAGGGUGAUCGGCAACACUGGAACUGAGACACGGACCAGAGGCCUACGGGAGGCAGCAGUAGGGAAUGGGCCGCAAUGGGCGAAAGCCUGACGGAGCAAGGCGGCGUGAGAGAUGAAGGUGUUGGGAUCGGAAAACUGGGUUAUGAGGGAAGAACAAAUGUGGAAGUAAAUAUGCACGGCGUGACGGUAACUAAUAAGAAAGCCACGGCUAACUACGUG
rnacentral:rRNA from 1 species